CAAAGGAAAGUUUAAUAAAAAUAAUAAUUUUGGAGAUUAUUGAUAAAGAAGGUUACUUUUCCUUUGA
rnacentral:tRNA from 1 species